GCUCACAAACUUUCAAGCACCACUGUACUGACUGAUAAUACCAAUUACAUGGUGGUAGCUGAAAGAAUACAUUCUGACUACACAUACACUAGCGUACAAUACCUAGCUGAUUUAGGUGACAGGACUAAGUGCCUUAGGCGUAGAGACUCCUAUAGAAAACAUCUAACACCACAUACAGUAGUUCAUUGACUGACUAUUGCCACAGACUGGAAAAUAACCAGUAGGUGAACCAUGUAUGACAGUAUUAUGGAUUUAAUGUUAUCAUUUACAUGAUAAAAGGGGGUAUUGUAGAAUAAAUUUUAGUGUAAUACUGUUUUGUUAUUUUCCUUUUCACUGAGCGUUGCCUCUUCAAGGACUAAUGGCAGAACAUUCUGCACUGAAGCAUUUUUCAUCUUAUCAUGUUCCUUACAUGCAUUGCAGAUGUGUGUACGAGCCAGCGAUUAGACGAGAUCCAAUCGGCUUUAGAGCUGAUCAUGCUCCCGGCACGUGAUCAGGGCAUGCAAUUGCAAUGAUGUAAUGUCUCUUUUUUAUCUAGUAAAGAGUAUAUAUAGAUUUGACAACAAAGGAACAGAGUGAGGGGUGUGCCAAACCAUCACUUUCUGUUUCUGCAGUAAACCUUCUUUCUCUUGCAUAAGGACCAGACUGGUGUUGGUGUUUGUCAUUUUUCCACGACAGUGUACAUUUAAUACAGUAGCGUGGGGGAGGUGCAUAUAUUAUUACUCAGACAUAUUUUGACUAUGAGAUGAGAUAAUGAUCUGAGAUAACUUCAGACUGUGGAAGUGUGACUAUAUUUUCUAUGUUUAACCCAAAUGUUAGUAUUAGAUCGAGAGUGUGACCACCAUUAUAGAUUGGUCCUAUGACACUCUGAUUAACCCCUACUGAAUCUAAGAUGGACACAAACACUGUUUUCAAAGGGUCUUCUGGGUUAACUAAGUGAAUAUUAAAAUCUCCGACAACUAAAGCUUUGUCUAAGGAAAUUACCAGGUCUGAGAUAAAAUCUGCAAAUUCAGAAAGAAACUCAGAAUAUGUCCCCAAGGACCUGUAGCUUCAUUUAAUGCUAUAUAUUCAUUUGGCUUAAUCCAUGUUUCAGUUAAACAAAGUACAUUAAAACUCCUGACCUGUAAUAAGUUCAUUAACCAUUCGCACUUUAGAUGUAAGAGAUCUAAUAUUUAAUAGCCCCACUUUUAGAUCAAAGGUGCUGGCAGCAGCUGUACAGUUAGUAUGAUCUAAUUUUAUAUUGAUUAGGUUCCUGGAACAAACUCUGAGUAUUUCUACUUUUUUGUUGAGCUCAGGGAACAGACAUAGUCUCGAUGUAGUGGACCCUGAGUGACGACUCUGUGCAGCUAGCAGACAGUCGGUUUAGCCUGUUUGUCUGCUCCCUGGCCUUGGCUCUGGAUUGUCAGAAGUUAACUAGGCCUGUUCUGAGAUUAUGGCCCAUGCUACAAGAAAUGAAAUAGGCCAUAAGGUGAACCUCGAAAAGUCCUUCCGAAAAUGGAUCCCACUCCGACCUCUCCGAACCGCACACGCUUCAGUUCAUAAAAAAGAAUGAGUUGUGGUAAGAUUACAACAAAAAGUUCACGUCACAGAAUCACGCUCAGUUCUUAAAUCGCAACAUUUAAUGAAGAACUAGUAUCUCCAAGGCGUAUGUACAUAUUCGGCAGGCGUAAUAACACUUUGGCUCGCGAGAGGUGCCACGGUUGAAACGUCAUCAGACUGGACGAAUCGGGUAGCUGGUAGCUCCCAGCUGUGCUAGGUAAACAGAAGCAGCAUGGCAGCCACCGGAGUAGCAGUGCUAUCAUCCAGCAGUACCAAAGAAGAAGAAAACUCGGCCGAAACUGUUGAAAAAACUAAAUCUUCGACACGUAAGACUUGUUAUAUGCACAUAUCUUUCUGUGAAGCAUGAAAAAACACAGAAUUUCACCAGCAUACGGUGGAAUACUUACCGAAACAGCCUUCGGCAGUGGCUGGAGUUGAGGGUGAGUGCAGAGACGUAUCCAAAAAUUACAAACACUGUCUUGACUUGGAUUUUGAUAAAAUUCCCAAAGACGCGGCUUUCCAUCCCACGUUACCGGAGAUUCAUUGACAAGCGCGAAAUUGAAAGAGCAAAAAGGCAUCUCGUGCGAGAGAAAGAGCGGGGAGAUGAUAAACAAGACCCCCAGACCAGCGAGGCUAUCCCUGCAACAGUGACUGGCACGACUCCGACAAGGAAACUUCGUUCCAGAUCAAGCCUGCCCAUCUCGAGCUCUGGCCCCGUCCUUCCUGCCAUCUGUAUAAUAUGCAAGAAAACCUGCAAAUAUGUCGUCAAGGCUGGCAGAUGACAAAAAGAAGCUUUGUCAAAGACACAGACUUUAACCGCAGGUAAGCUAAAAGGCAUCUCACCCUCAUCCCCAACUACACAGUAGGUAGUCUAUACAAAUGCAUCCCAUCCCCCAGCACACACAGAGAGAGAAAGAGAGAGUAGUUGAAUGACUACACUGCUACUGACUGCACACAAUCUCCUUGCAUUUGUCUAAUUUGAAUGUAUGUGUGGAUUUAUACAGUACAUUGACGUACAGAUGUAUGGAUGGCUGUAUGAAUAUGGAAAGAUGUCUAUUGGUUGUACUUUUGCUGGUGUGUGUGUGUGUGUGUGUGUGUGUGUGUGUGUGAACUAUAAUGUGUUGUGUAUGUGUGUGGGUGUGAGUAAAAUAACAUUCCAAUACAUAACUUCCCCAUGCCUAUAAUAUUCCAAUACCAUAAAUGACCAAAAUGCAGUGUUUGAGUUAAGGACUGCCCCCCCUUCUGUCUUAAUGCCUGUUGCAAAGAUUUGACAAUAAAGUACACUUUGACUUUAAUAGGGUAGUGUGUAUGUUUGAAUGGAUGUCAUAGUAUGUCUUUGUGCUUUGAUGUUAAUAUGCCACUGAAUACCAGUCCACCAGGAAAAAUGAAGUCUGACUGUUUGUCUGCCUAUCUAUCCAUCCUUUUUUCUUUUCUUUUGUACAAGGCAAGUUGCAGGAAGCUGCUGAAGUAAAGGACGACCAUAGCAUUCUUGUUCAUGUCAAGGACAAAGACUGUGUGGCUCUGGAGGUGCAGUACCACAAAAGUUGCUACCGACAGUACACAAGGUUUUUGAGUGAUCCUGCCAGAGUAGAGAAAGAACAGAUUGAGCCAACGUUUGAUCUCCGCUAUAAGCUGUUCUGUGAGAGGGUAAUCCGUCAAAGCCUGCUGAUCAACCAAGAGGUGCUGAGAAUGAGCCAACUGAGGAAGACCUUUAUUGACCUGGUGCAGUCAAGUGAAGGUGUUGAUGCUUCAAGCUACAGACAGGAUACAUUUAAGAGGAGACUCACCCGUGAUUUUCCUCAGCUUGUGUUCCAAUAGCAUGUUGUGGUUUUUACCUCUAUACUAUUCCAUUGAUAUCAUUAUCAUUCAUUUUAUUAUGAUGUUUAUUUAUAUAUGUAUAUAAGU